rnacentral:misc_RNA from 1 species
AGCUACAGCUUCUGCUGGAG